rnacentral:misc_RNA from 1 species
GUCAACUGUUCGCCGAAUCGACAUUGAUUCAUUUUGUAGCGGAGUUUCAACCUGAUAUGCACAUUUCUUUGGGAAUAAUUCUUCUAAAUGUCUUCUUUUCAUCGAGCUUAAUACUGAGAUCCAAAGCUAGGCACAUGAUCGCUUCCCUAUUGUCAAGUAAGCGGAGAUUUCAAGAACUAGACGGCACGUGCUCUUUCUCGGAAAAGAAGGAACUGCAGAUUCGUCGAAACCGAUAUGGAUUAGUAAAGAUCGUCAUUUCACGAAGCCAAGGGGCAUCAAGAAUGAGGCUUAUCGGGUUUUACGUCCCAUUCUAUCUAUUUUUCGUGCCAGCUCUCGUAAAAGGUUUAAGUACCAUCCAACCGAGACAGUCCAGUGCUACAAGGACAGAGGGGGCAAGUUUUCUCUUCGAAUGGGAUUUUCAUCUUCAAGAUGAGGACAAAAUAGAACUAACAGGGUUCAUUUUUGGCCUUUGGGUGGAUGGUUAUACCACGCAUUAUCUUAUGACGGUAACCAAGGAGGGAAGAGUGAUUCAUAAUCCUCAGUUGAGCAAGAAACAUCCAAGUUACGUCGGGCGAGUCACUUGGGCAGGAAACAUAUCAAAGUCGUAUUUGGCCUAUAAGUUGGAGAAUCUGACUUACUCGGAUAGCAACACAUACGGAUGUCAAAUUGACGUGGGAGGUUUCCGACGAACAAUUCAUUCUAUGAUCACUUUAAAUGUCCAGGCGAUAAAUACAUCAAAGACACCUGAACUGAGUGUCUCUUCCAUAUGGGUCCAUACUCCCAAUGCUACAUCGAGCACAUUUGUUCCAUUAUUAAAAGGAGGACCUCCAGCUGUAGUAAAACUUCCUUUCCACGACAUUGACAUCAAUGACACGAGGUUUUUAUGCACCUGGGAAUACCCUAAAGACAAUAAUGGAGCCAAUAUAACGAUGUUUACCGUGUGGUAUCGCCCAUUACUUCGGGAAAAAUGGUCUAAAGUGAAUGUUACACAAAACAGAUACUCAGUUAGACUGAAUUGCUGCUUGACAUACGAGAUUAUGGUAACAGCUUGGAAUAAGAAGGGUCAGAGCUCUUUUGAUCCUAGAACAGCAGCAAGGGUCACAGUUCUCAAAGGAGCAACUGCUUCCCCUAAGAGUGUCCUGGAAAAUGCAACAGCGCGAAGUGUAACAACUUCGAAUUCAAACAUUUUGGUGUCAAAUGGGAAAGCCGGCUCCGCGAAGUCAAAGUGGGAAUUAGGGGUUGAGUACUUACCUUACUUGUCAGUCCUUGCCAUUCCUGCAUUUCUUUGGGCUGUGACUUCCAAGCUCCGAAGGAGAACUGGAGUGAAUAAAAUCUCAGCAAACGAGAAUGGAACAGUAAUGCAAUACCAGCGGGUAGAAGCUGAAACAGUGCCGAUGGAUCCGGUUCCGUCCUGGGAGUUUCGGAAGGAAGACUUGGAGAUUGAUAGAGUAGUUGGCCACGGUGCGUUUGGAGUGGUCUCCAAAGCCUACGCUCGAUAUCUGCAGGGCUACUCAGAAUGGACAGUUGUGGCAGUAAAAAGCUUGCAGGAGGAUGCGAAGGAAAGUGAAAGAGAAGAUCUGUUGUCUGAAUUAAACCUUUUAAAGAGGCUGAAACCUCAUCCACAUGUAAUAAAACUUUUGGGUUGCAUCACAGAAGAAAAAGAAACCCCAUAUGUAAUCAUUGAGUAUGUACCUUAUGGAGAUCUUCUCGGUUAUCUUCGGAGAAGUCGAGGGUUGCACGACUGUUACUACGAAUAUCCCGAGAUAAAACCAACGACGAACCUAACUUCAGAGCAGAUCAUAACGUUCGCCUGGCAGAUAGCUGACGGCAUGCAGUAUAUCUCAUCUAAAAGGAUCAUCCACCGAGACCUAGCAGCAAGGAAUGUAUUAGUUGGUGAUAACCUCAGAUGCAAGAUUACAGAUUUUGGAAUGGCUCGCGAUGCUGAUAUGAAAGAUAUUUAUGUACCACGUAAUCAGGGCCGAAUUCCUGUUAAAUGGACAGCAAUUGAAGCAAUGUCUGGAAGGAUGGAGUACUCAACGAAAAGUGACGUAUGGAGUUUUGGAAUCGUUCUAUACGAGAUUUGCACCAUUGAUUCCAGUCGGAAGUAGAGAAAAUCGUAAGAAGUUAGUAUUCUUAACAGACCAGGAAUAAGAGAUAAGUGUCUCUAAAACAAAGUGCAUAUAUUCAAUCGCUAUUGCUUGCUUUCUCAAUGAUGAUAGUAUUUUUUGAUAAUGCUGUUUUCUAUCAAUUUGAGUGUUUCUCACCCAAAACAGGGACUCGUAAUUUGUUCCUCCAUCACUCGAGGAAAGUUAUUAAGUAAAGUUAAGAGACUCUUUGGUCAUUAUAUUAUUGUGAGUGUCAUCUUAAAUUCUUACACACUUUAGGCGCUGAACCUUAUCCAGGAAUAAGUCCGUAUGACAUUCCAAGAGUAUUACAAGAGGGGUAUAGAAUUCCUAAACCUGAUUAUUUUAAGGAUGAGUUAUAUAAUAUCAUGCUGAAUUGUUGGGAAACGGACCCUGAAAUAAGACCGUCAUUUG